rnacentral:rRNA from 1 species
GAUGAACGCUGGCGGCGUGCCUAAUACAUGCAAGUCGAGCGAACAGACGAGGAGCUUGCUCCUCUGGCGUUAGCGGCGGACGGGUGAGUAACACGUGGAUAACCUACCUAUAAGACUGGGAUAACUUCGGGAAACCGGAGCUAAUACCGGAUAAUAUAUUGAACCGCAUGGUUCAAUAGUGAAAGACGGUUUUGCUGUCACUUUUAGAUGGAUCCGCGCCGCAUUAGCUAGUUGGUAAGGUAACGGCUUACCAAGGCAACGAUGCGUAGCCGACCUGAGAGGGUGAUCGGCCACACUGGAACUGAGACACGGUCCAGACUCUUACGGGAGGCAGCAGUAGGGAAUCUUCCGCAAUGGGCGAAAGCCUGACGGAGCAACGCCGCGUGAGUGAUGAAGGUCUUCGGAUCGUAAAACUCUGUUAUUAGGGAAGAACAAAUGUGUAAGUAACUAUGCACGUCUUGACGGUACCUAAUCAGAAAGCCACGGCUAACUACGUG